GGUCAUCAACUAACUUCUUCAAAAGUGGUAUAAUAUUCGCUUAGCAAUCAUUCCUCUGAAUGAGAAUAAUGUGAAUGGUCCUGGGUUCGAUUCCCAGUGCGUCCA